UACGUAGGGGGCAAGCGUUGUCCGGAUUUAUUGGGCGUAAAGGGCGCGUAGGCGGCCAGCACAAGUCAGUUGUGAAAUCUCCGAGCUUAACUCGGAAAGGUCAACUGAUACUGUGCGGCUAGAGUGCGGAAGGGGCAACUGGAAUUCUUGGUGUAGCGGUGAAAUGCGUAGAUAUCAAGAGGAACACCUGCGGCGAAGGCGGGUUGCUGGGCCGACACUGACGCUGAUGCGCGAAAGCUAGGGGAGCGAACGGG
rnacentral:rRNA from 1 species